rnacentral:rRNA from 1 species
GACUCCUACGGGAGGCAGCAGUGGGGAAUAAUUGCACAAUGGGCGCAAGCCUGAUGCAGCCAUGCCGCGUGUAUGAAGAAGGCCUUCGGGUUGUAAAGUACUUUCAGCGGGGAGGAAGGGAGUAAAGUUAAUACCUUUGCUCAUUGACGUUACCCGCAGAAGAAGCACCGGCUAACUCCGUGCCAGCAGCCGCGGUAUACGGAGGGUGCAAGCGUUAAUCGGAAUUACUGGGCGUAAAGCGCACGCAGGCGGUUUGUUAAGUCAGAUGUGAAAUCCCCGGGCUCAACCUGGGAACUGCAUCUGAUACUGGCAAGCUUGAGUCUCGUAGAGGGGGGUAGAAUUCCAGGUGUAGCGGUGAAAUGCGUAGAGAUCUGGAGGAAUACCGGUGGCGAAGGCGGCCCCCUGGACGAAGACUGACGCUCAGGUGCGAAAGCGUGGGGAGCAAACAGGAUUAGAUACCCUGGUAGUCCACGCCGUAAACGAUGUCGACUUGGAGGUUGUGCCCUUGAGGCGUGGUUUCCGGAGCUAACGCGUUAAGUCGACCGCCUGGGGAGUACGGCCGCAAGGUUAAAACUCAAAUGAAUUGACGGGGGCCCGCACAAGCGGUGGAGCAUGUGGUUUAAUUCGAUGCAACGCGAAGAACCUUACCUGGUCUUGACAUCCACGGAAGUUUUCAGAGAUGAGAAUGUGCCUUCGGGAACCGUGAGACAGGUGCUGCAUGGCUGUCGUCAGCUCGUGUUGUGAAAUGUUGGGUUAAGUCCCGCAACGAGCGCAACCCUUACCCUUUGUUGCCAGCGGUCCGGCCGGGAACUCAAAGGAGACUGCCAGUGAUAAACUGGAGGAAGGUGGGGAUGACGUCAAGUCAUCAUGGCCCUUACGACCAGGGCUACACACGUGCUACAAUGGCGCAUACAAAGAGAAGCGACCUCGCGAGAGCAAGCGGACCUCAUAAAGUGUGUCGUAGUCCGGAUUUGUGUCUGCAACUCGACUCCAUGAAGUCGGAAUCGCUAGUAAUCGUGGAUCAGAAUGCCACGGUGAAUACGUUCCCAGGCCUUGUACACACCGCCCGUCACACCAUGGGAGUGGGUUGCAAAAGAAGUAGGUAGCUUAACCUUCGGGAGGGCGCUUACCACUUUGUGAUUCAUGACUGGGGUGAAGUCGAAACAAGGUAACCGUAGGGGAACCUGCGGUUG